rnacentral:tmRNA from 1 species
GGGGAUGCACUGGUUUCGACGGGGGGACAACAGUUUGUGGUUGCGCUGUCGCGCCUGCUCAUGAGCGCGUUAUUCACGUGAGCAAACCGUAUAUGCGAACUCCUUUGAGUAUCGCCUCGCUGCCUAAGAAGUAUUCUUAGUUGGUGAGCAUCUGGCCAGAAGCUGCCCAUCGAUUCUGGAUUUCAGGUGACGACUUUGAUGGGAUAGUGUCGACGGCUCUGCCGGUGGCCUUCGACGCGAAACCUUUGCCUGCUGGCGUGUGGUCAACCCUGUCUGUCGGGAUGCCGCACGCGAGAUUUAAUGACUGACUACGCAGCGUAGAAGCCCCAGGCUUUGCCUUUCGGACGCGGGUUCGAUUCCCGCCAUCUCCACUU